rnacentral:rRNA from 1 species
UACGGAGGGAGCUAGCGUUAUUCGGAAUUACUGGGCGUAAAGCGCACGUAGGCGGCUUUGUAAGUAAGAGGUGAAAGCCCAGAGCUCAACUCUGGAAUUGCCUUUUAGACUGCAUCGCUUGAAUCAUGGAGAGGUCAGUGGAAUCCGAGUGUAGAGGUGAAAUUCGUAGAUAUUCGGAAGAACACCAGUGGCGAAGGCGGCUGACUGGACAUGUAUUGACGCUGAGGUGCGAAAGCGUGGGGAGCAAACAGGAUUGAGAAACCCUU